GUUGACAUCUGUUUAAAGGUCCAAAUUCCUUUCAAAUAGUCUUAUUCGUGACCCACUCCUUUUAACACGCCUUAUUCGGUAGAGAUGGGUUUUUGUUAACGUCUAGUGUAAACUAGUACUUAAUUGAUUGUUUCAAUGGUACAAAUAUAGAAGUACUAUUCAACGCUGUAUACGUCUGUGUUGUGUGGUAAAUGGCUCCUACUAGAUACAUAAAAUUGAGAAAAUGAAAAACAUACUUAUAUUCGAGUAAAUAAGCUACUUAAUUUAUUAGGUUCUUUUUGGUCAUAUAGCUCUUUAGCUCUAUAUGUUAUAAAUUCUUAGCUUUCGGCUUGAGCGAUCUAGAUGAAGUUAAAUCAAGAAAAAAGGCUUUGGGCGCAUGAAAUUG
rnacentral:lncRNA from 1 species